rnacentral:rRNA from 1 species
CUUACMAGGGAGCAUGUGCACGCUUGUCAUCUUUAUUUCUCCAACUUGUGCACCUUUUGUAGACCUGGAGUGUUUGUUGAUUGUUGUUCGAUUGAGGACUGCCGUGUAGUCGGCUUUUCCUUGCACCCUCCAGGCCUAUGUUUCUUUCACAACACACCUGUUCAGAAUGUACAAGUUUUUAAAAAAAUAUACAACUUUCAGCAACGGAUCUCUUGGCUCUCGCAUCGAUGAAGAACGCAGCGAAAUGCGAUAAGUAAUGUGAAUUGCAGAAUUCAGUGAAUCAUCGAAUCUUUGAACGCAUCUUGCGCUCCUUGGUAUUCCGAGGAGCAUGCCUGUUUGAGUGUCAUUCGAGUUCUCAACCACGCCAGUUUUCUCUGGUCGCGGCUUUGGAUGUGGGGGUUAUUGUUUUGCUGGCUUCAAAGUCGGCUCCCCUGAAAUGCAUUAGUAGUAUCUGAGCAGAAACUACCAAAGGUGUGAUAAAUUAUCUAUGCCUUGGUGUCAACUGCAUGAGCAGAUUACACUGCUUCUCUAACGAUGAUGAUGUUUGACAAAUUUGACCUCAAAUCAGGCAGGACUACCCGCUGAACUUAAGCAUAUCAAUAAGCGGAGGAAAAGAAACUAACAAGGAUUCCCCUAGUAACUGCGAGUGAAGCGGGAAAAGCUCAAAUUUAAAAUCUGGCAGUUCUCAACUGUCCGAGUUGUAAUCUAGAGAAGUGUUACCCGUGCUGGACCAUGUACAAGUCUCCUGGAAUGGAGCAUCA